CCCACGGGGACCCCAGGACCGAGUUUGGGAAACCCUGCCCGAGUGCAUGACCCCAUCGCCCUCAAGCCACUUAUUGAUGUGAUCGGAAAGGAUAAGGUGAUGUUAGGAACAGACUAUUCAUUCCCACUGGGUGAGCUGCAGCCCGAAUCAUAAAAGAGACCAUGAAGGAGUUUGAUGGUGGGAAUAGAUAAAUUACCGAUCGAGGAGACAUUCAAAAACAGUCCACAGGACAAACUGCUUGCAUGGAAUACACUGGACUUUUUAGGGCUUAAAAGAGAACAAUUUGAAUGACUUAAAGCAUGAAGAUCUUGUCAAAACAAAAGGGACAACAACAUUUGAAUUUCAAAUUACUCUUAGUAUUGGUACACGUGUUACAGAUACAACCUAUUGCGUGACUCAAACGUACCUAUUUAAUUAUGAAGAUACUUUUAAUCUAUUUAGCUAAUUUCUCAUUUUUGUUUACACUGUUGAAAGUCAUCUGUGGUCAACACUAUUUUUGCUGUUUAUCGACUAAUUAAAAUGUAAUGUUCAUUUCAAAGAGAGCAUUAUUUACUCAAUGGAAAUAUAAACUAGAGUAGGUUCAGAAAUGGUGUGUGCUUGCUUCAGUUUAUAGGCUAGUUGUUGUAGAUAGUUCUAUAGUUAUAAAGCCUUUAUAACUUAACAAUGUAUUUAUAUUAUUUAUAACAAAAAGUACUGGUUAAUUCCUUUCUGUUCCUUUUUUAACCUGUGAAAUCAACAGUUUUUUACAUUUAGCUCAUUAAAUUACUUAAACAAUCAGAUGUGGAUAGAGCAGGCAAGCUAGUUGUUUACAUGCGUGAUGGACAGACAAAGUAUAGCCUAUGGCUCAAGAUGCAACUGACAUUUUGCGGGUGGGGUGAGAGCUAGAGAGGGUUGAGGAGGAGGCUUGACGCACUGGGCAUCUUGUUAUGACAUGCAUUAUCUAGCUAAUUAAAAAUCUAUUUCAUCUGAAUCAAGCUUGUAAAGUCAGUACAGUAGCCUAUGAUUCGAAGGGGGGAGGGGCAGGUAGCAUAAACACGCACAGGCAAAG